GAUGAAGAACGUAGUGAAAUGCGAUACUUGGUGUGAAUUGCAGAAUCCCGUGAACCAUCGAGUCUUUGAACGCAAGUUGCGCCCGAAGCCAUUAGGCCGAGGGCACGCCUGCCUGGGCGUCACACGUCGUUGCCCCCCCAUCUACUCCUUCGGGAUUGCGGGGGGCGGAUGAUGGCCUCUCGUGCGCCUCGUCGCGCGGUUGGCCUAAAUGCCAAGUCCUCGGCGACGCACGCCACGACAAUCGGUGGUUGCGAAACCUCGGUUGCCUGUCGUGUGCGGUCGUCGCGCAUCGAGGGCUCGAAAAAAUUGCCGGGCUCCGGCUCGGCUUUCAACGCGACCCCAGGUCAGGCGGGGUUACCCGCUGAAUUUAAGCAUAUCAAUAAGCGGAGGA
rnacentral:misc_RNA from 1 species